ACCUUAGAUGUUCGGGGCCGCACGCGCGCUACACUGAAGGAAUCAGCACGUCUUUCUCCUUGUCCGAAAGGACUGGGUAACCCGCUGAACCUCCUUCGUGCUAGGGAUUGGGGCUUGUAAUUCUUCCCCAUGAACGAGGAAUUCCCAGUAAGCGCGAGUCAUAAGCUCGCGUUGAUUACGUCCCUGCCCUUUGUACACACCGCCCGUCGCUACUACCGAUUGGAUGGUUUAGUGAGAUCCUCGGAUUGGUCCCGGCGCGGCCUCUGGUCGUGCCGGAGUGCCGAAAAGAAUGUCGAACUUGAUCAUCUAGAGGAAGUAAAAGUCGUAACA
rnacentral:rRNA from 1 species